GGGCUUGUGGUUUAGUGGUAUAAUACAUCCUUAGCAGCAUUAUGCAUUGUCAUUCAAAGCCAAUGUCCUAACGUCUGGAUGGGGUCCUGGGUUCGAUUCCCAGCAAGUCCA